GCAAGUCGAGCGCUACCUUCGGGUGGAGCGGCGGACGGGUUAGUAACGCGUGGGAACGUACCCUUCUCUACGGAAUAGCCUUUGGAAACGAAGAGUAAUACCGUAUACGCCCUUUGGGGGAAAGAUUUAUCGGAGAAGGAUUAGCCCGCGUUAGAUUAGGUAGUUGGUGGGGUAAUGGCCUACCAAGUCUACGAUCUAUAGCUGGUUUUAGAGGAUGAUC
rnacentral:rRNA from 1 species